rnacentral:rRNA from 1 species
UACGGGGGGGGCAAGCGUUGUUCGGAAUUACUGGGCGUAAAGGGCUCGUAGGUGGCCAACUAAGUCAGACGUGAAAUCCCUCGGCUUAACCGGGGAACCGCGUCUGAUACUGGAUGGCUUGAGUUCGGGAGAGGGAUGCGGAAUUCCAGGUGUAGCGGUGAAAUGCGUAGAUAUCUGGAGGAACACCGGUGGCGAAGGCGGCAUCCUGGACCGACACUGACACUGAGGAGCGAAAGCCAGGGGAGCAAACGGG